AGCUGAUGGAGAGGACCACGAGAGACAAGGAAGCAUUGGAUCAGAGGCAGUUGGUGUGUGUCCUGGGCCAUGAAGAGGAAGAAUUUUAUAGAGAUUUGUCUCCUGCUGCAUGUGGCCGAGUGGGGCUCCAACUUGGAUGAGUCCAUAUCCAGGGUGGAGCUCAGGAUGGAGGAGCUGAUCCAGAGGACCAUGAGAAACAAGGUGAGAG